rnacentral:rRNA from 1 species
UACGGAGGGUGCAAGCGUUAUCCGGAUUCACUGGGUUUAAAGGGUGCGUAGGUGGGGCGGUAAGUCAGUGGUAAAAUCUCCGAGCUUAACUUGGAAACUGCCAUUGAUACUAUCACUCUUGAAUAUUGUGGAGGUCAGCGGAAUAUGUCAUGUAGCGGUGAAAUGCUUAGAUAUGACAUAGAACACCAAUUGCGAAGGCAGCUGGCUACGCAUAUAUUGACACUGAGGCACGAAAGCGUGGGGAUCAAACAGG